AGGCCCAAAGCAAGAGGCAGGGUCUGAUCCGCAGCCUCCGUGGCAGCUGUUGAUCAGCCAUUGCCUCUCUCUUUCUCUCCG
rfam:Myotis brandtii contig173782, whole genome shotgun sequence.